rnacentral:rRNA from 1 species
UUGAACGCUGGCGGCAGGCCUAACACAUGCAAGUCGAACGGUAACAGGAAGCAGCUUGCUGCUUUGCUGACGAGUGGCGGACGGGUGAGUAAUGUCUGGGAAACUGCCUGAUGGAGGGGGAUAACUACUGGAAACGGUAGCUAAUACCGCAUAACGUCGCAAGACCAAAGAGGGGGACCUUAGGGCCUCUUGCCAUCGGAUGUGCCCAGAUGGGAUUAGCUAGUAGGUGGGGUAACGGCUCACCUAGGCGACGAUCCCUAGCUGGUCUGAGAGGAUGACCAGCCACACUGGAACUGAGACACGGUCCAGACUCCUACGGGAGGCAGCAGUGGGGAAUAUUGCACAAUGGGCGCAAGCCUGAUGCAGCCAUGCCGCGUGUAUGAAGAAGGCCUUCGGGUUGUAAAGUACUUUCAGCGGGGAGGAAGGGAGUAAAGUUAAUACCUUUGCUCAUUGACGUUACCCGCAGAAGAAGCACCGGCUAACUCCGUGCCAGCAGCCGCGGUAAAACGGAGGGUGCAAGCGUUAAUCGGAAUUACUGGGCGUAAAGCGCACGCAGGCGGUUUGUUAAGUCAGAUGUGAAAUCCCCGGGCUCAACCUGGGAACUGCAUCUGAUACUGGCAAGCUUGAGUCUCGUAGAGGGGGGUAGAAUUCCAGGUGUAGCGGUGAAAUGCGUAGAGAUCUGGAGGAAUACCGGUGGCGAAGGCGGCCCCCUGGACGAAGACUGACGCUCAGGUGCGAAAGCGUGGGGAGCAAACAGGAUUAGAUACCCUGGUAGUCCACGCCGUAAACGAUGUCGACUUGGAGGUUGUGCCCUUGAGGCGUGGCUUCCGGAGCUAACGCGUUAAGUCGACCGCCUGGGGAGUACGGCCGCAAGGUUAAAACUCAAAUGAAUUGACGGGGGCCCGCACAAGCGGUGGAGCAUGUGGUUUAAUUCGAUGCAACGCGAAGAACCUUACCUGGUCUUGACAUCCACGGAAGUUUUCAGAGAUGAGAAUGUGCCUUCGGGAACCGUGAGACAGGUGCUGCAUGGCUGUCGUCAGCUCGUGUUGUGAAAUGUUGGGUUAAGUCCCGCAACGAGCGCAACCCUUAUCCUUUGUUGCCAGCGGUCCGGCCGGGAACUCAAAGGAGACUGCCAGUGAUAAACUGGAGGAAGGUGGGGAUGACGUCAAGUCAUCAUGGCCCUUACGACCAGGGCUACACACGUGCUACAAUGGCGCAUACAAAGAGAAGCGACCUCGCGAGAGCAAGCGGACCUCAUAAAGUGCGUCGUAGUCCGGAUUGGAGUCUGCAACUCGGCUCCAUGAAGUCGGAAUCGCUAGUAAUCGUGGAUCAGAAUGCCACGGUGAAUACGUUCCCGGGCCUUGUACACACCGCCCGUCACACCAUGGGAGUGGGUUGCAAAAGAAGUAGGUAGCUUAACCUUCGGGAGGGCGCUUACCACUUUGUGAUUCAUGACUGGGGUG